GUGCAAGUGGCUCUUUAACACAUUACAACAUUUCCCCUUUGGCCAUAAUGGGAAAGCUUGAAAAGUCAGCUACAGUAUCAGCAUAACAUUUUAGGCAGAACAAUUGACACAUCAAAGAAAUCAUAAAAGUCUCCACUUGUCAUUUUUUUACUGCUUCAUGAAAGCUUUUCACUCUUAGCCUCUGGUUUCUGUUUCUCUUCCUGUCCAUCACUCUCUCUCUGUAUUCUCUCUGUGUCUCUCUCUCACAUGGGCAGGCAAACACACUUCAUAUGCGGUCUCCUUGUUUUAUAGGUUUUAGUUCACGCCCUCCAGUGUGGCAUGUUGGCAGACAUCCUUCUGCAGUUUUGUAAUAAUUGACCUUAUGUCCAUAAAAAAUGUAAGGAAACAAAAGUGUCUCUGACUCUGGGACAAGCAGCAGAAGAGCUAAGAAGAAACAAGCAUCCUACACCCAAAGUGAAAUGCGGGAGAGUUCACAAUGGAGUACACAGUUUUGUUCUGCCUUUUACCUGCAUUUACUUUCACAAGACAAGAGUCAGUGAGAUUGGAGGUGAGCCCCAUGGUUACAGCAGAGUGUGGCAAACCAGUUUCUCUACACUGCAACACAUCAUCACCUCAGCACGGACUAUCAGUCAAACGCAUGGAGUGGUCCCAAGGAAAUAUGCCUUUAUGUUCUGUGGACAGUCAGGAAACAAUGACCACACUGCAGAGACACUUUCAAAGUGAUUUCCGUUGCCAGUUUAAAGAUGGACGACUAUCUCUGGUCUUUCAAACAGUGCUGCCUUUGGAGAGUGGAAACUUGAAGCGCUACAUGUGCAAACUGCACUCCAACAAAGGAGUGGCCCAUAAUUACACAAGAGUGCAGCUGCAAGAGUGUUGUGGGACAGUUGACACUGUUUUAAAGCGUGACGGUCCAUCCUGCACCUUCAACCAUGUCUACCCAGAUGGAGAUGUGCACUGGUUUCAUGGCUCUCGAAACAUAUCAGAUGGGUCUGUGACUCAGCACACUGCUAAAAGCGUGGAUAACCAUGGCUGGAUGAUUAUCCACAGUUGGCUGACCUUCAAUGGUACACAGGAGAAAGGUUCACACAAGCCAUACAACUGUUCUUUAAAAGGUUCUACAUCCAGUAAAUACAUUGCAAGUACUUUUGUUCUGAAACAUGGACAUCAGGCCUCGAUAGGUGCUACAGGAUACAGCAUUUCUGAUGGAAACAGAGUCAGACAACAGAAAGCUGUGAAGAUUGCUUUGGCUAUUUUAGUCUCGCUUAUUGUCAUGCUGAAAUAAUUAACUGUGCAAAGUAAAAACACAUCACACACCAUGAUGACACAUGAGAGUGAAUGGCAAUCAGUAAUAAGAUGGUACUGACAUUUGUUUUACUUUUCCAUUUAAAAACUAGAGCAGCAAAACACAGAGGUGGGUGAGUUAUCUUAACAGGUUUGAAUAUUUAUGAUCCUUUCUUUUAAUUCUUGCCUCAGGUAAGCAAAACACAAUUACUGGCUGUUGAAAGGUGACAACAAGAUUUCUGAUCAUUUUUAAACUAUUAAAGCAUUUGGCUGAUACAGAGCUUUAGAUGAGACAGCAAGGUUUGUUGGCUUCUAACACACAACGUGGAAUACACUAAGAGAAAGUACACUUAUAUAAAAGUAUAGCAGCCUGGCUGCUGGCUCAAAUUUAGGACUAGAGUAUAUACAUGUAUUUAUACCAUGUUUCACUGUUAAUGGUAUGUGUAGCGGGUGAAAACAGUUUGCAGGGUAUAUACUGACCUAAUAAUAAUGUGAAUGAUUGACUGUGUUGUAUAUUACCAUGAUAAGCACCGCCGUUUUACUUUGAAAUACUUAUUAGCAGAACACAUUGUAAUAAUCUGUAAAGGAACAGGUCUGUUUGUGGUAUGUGGAUAGAUGCUGCCCUCUGGUGGUCCAAUAAUUUGGAGCAACACAUGUGGCUACAAAAAAAAAACAACACAGGCCAGACAUUGGGUCUCAUUAAAACUGGCACAGAUGUGGGUGUAGUAAUCAUCAUAGGACGAACUCCAUGUGUAAUUCCUAAUUUUCACUGGAUGUCACCACAGCAACACUCAAGGUGAUAAAAACAAAAAUGUGUCAUUGUAAACAAAUGUCAUUCAAGGGCCCUAUUUAUUCAAUGUUUUAAUGAGCUCACCAGCAGAAUAUGCUGCAUUGAGGAAGAGAGAGACAUUUCCCUAAGAUUUUUAAGUGAUGAAAUCGCAAAUGAUGGGUAUUGCCUAGAACAGUGACUUAAAGGCAUGUGGAAAACCCGAAACGUAAUUUGUCACACAAAUAAUGUCUCUACUAAUGUUAAUUUCAUUUCAGACUUGUCAAAAUAAGCAUGAAUCAGUCUAGUUUCAACUGCUAGUUAAGGUCAUGGCACUUUUUUAACACUUUUAAGAUCAAAUUGCAAUAUUUUCGGCACAGUUUUGUGCAGAACUGCCUUUCUUGGCAUGUACAGCAAAAACAAAUCACCAGUCGGUCUAAAGCAGACUCCUCUUUAGUAAUUCAAUGCACAGCUCCAUAGUGUCUGUGUCUGAAGGCUCACUUCAACAAUCUCCUGCUGAAAGGUCCCACUGUCCAAGCCCAAAGCCAGAAUGCAGUUAUAAAUUUUGACAUGACCCAAAGAUUAAAUCUACAUAAAGUGUAACCACUGAUUACUAUGCUCAAAGAAAAUACGACUGCGCUACUGUGUGUAAUUUCAUAGGAGAGAUAUAUAGCCAAAGACUUCUUAAAUCGCUUUACACCCUAGUCAGGGUUUUUCAGGGCUCUAAAAUCUACUUAAACAGUCAGCAACCGUCGUCCGCCAGAGAAAUCUUGAGCUCAGUAACUGAACCUUAAAAAUAUUUCCCCAUUUUCUCCAAUGUGCACAUAAAUAGGGGCUAUUGUGUUUCCUUUAAUGUAGUCAUUAUCAGAAACAAAAGCAUGUUAUAAAAUCAGUUGAGACAAAUAAUGAAAUCAUACAACUGGUUUUGUUUUGGGUUUAUUUAAGAGGGAUGGGCUACUGCUCGCAAAGAAAUAAAUAAUGAAUAAAAAGCAACAGCCCAGGGUAAUGUCUUGAAUAAAAAGUCUGCAGUACAGUUUCAACACUGAAGUGUCACCAUUAACCUGGCUGCGGCAAAGGUACAGGACAGCAGUAAGAGUAUUUAGUUCAGGGGUAUUGGCAGCGCAAGCUUAUUUACCAAAAUAGAAGCAAAUUAAGCUGCUCUUUAGGUCGCCUAGCCCCACCCAGGAAUUUAAAAUGUUUCUAAAUUUUCAAUCCUAGGAUUCUUAGGACAAAAUAAACCGUUAAAUAAUCAAUACAACAAUGUUAGUGCAGCUGGAAUGGAUGAUGAGCUUCAAUGCAAGUAGUAUUUCAAAUCCCCCCACUGUUAGGUUCUUAAAAUGUUGGACCAGCUCUGAACCUUAUUUUGAUUGAAGAAAUCUAAGAGAACAAUUGUUUACAUUUGCAUGAUGGGGAAUUUUGAUAUGGAUUAACAGAAGCACGCAACUUCCAGAUGUUUACAAAUUUACUUAAUUUCAACAUAAAACCAGACCAACACUCAGCUAAAAUAAACAACUCUUCACCAGAUCACAAAUCCAUCUUCAGGGUAAAAGCUCCUAUUUUUUAAUGGUUCAGUGCUCCUUGUUCAAGUCAUAAAAGCUCUCUGCCUGUCGUGCCACUGAAUUAGGGUAAAGCUUGAGCUUUUAAAGGCCAGAUUAUUCACACACAUUGGUUAUGGCAACACUAUAGGGCAGCUGAGGAUCACUGUGAGCAAAUACUUCCAAGUGACUUGCAGAGUGCACAAGUGCAUUCACAUACAGACAUGACAGACAUACAAACACAAUAAUAUAUUCUGCUUGAGAUAAAUCUCUUAAUCGCAAUCACUAAUGUGCUGAUGAGCUGCUUAUAAGCCUCUAAUAUGGUAGAAAGAUUUCAUGUUGCUGUGAGUUUGUAAACAUUGAAUAAAUCCUCACGGCGGUGGAAGGCCAGCAGAUACAGCACUAUAUUAGCUUAUUUGAACCAUUUACAGGUUCUCGAGAGAUUGCUGUUUUUUUAGGCUCUGUUUACACGACAACAAUCUAUUGAAAACUGGAUUUUUUUUUUUUUUUUUUUUUCUGUUUCUGUUAACACAUCUGCAACACAAUGUUUUAAUUAAAUACUCAACAGGCAACAGUGGAGAUGUGAAAAUUGUGUAACUCCCAGACCAAACUAUUAGUUGGCGGUAUGUUUUUUGAAACUCAAUAACAUAGGAAAACAAUUACUGCUUACAAAACGGGUGAGAAAAUGACCACUUUGUUGGAGAACCGUCAUUAGAUUCAAAAGAGUCAGCGGCACAAGUAAGUACUCUGCAACACGCCGUUGUCAUUGUUGAUAUCUCUGUCUUCUGUGGGUUGUUAAACGGUCAGCAUCAAUUAUGCUGUGUGUGUGUGUGUGUGUGUGUGUGUGUGUGUGUGUGUGUGUGCAUUCAUUUCUACUGGUUUCAGUUAUAUUGCGCUGCGUAUGAGCCAGGGCUUCCCUAUAAGAAAGUUUCAAUUUUUUUCCAUCAAGACGACAACAGAGACCGGGACAUUUUCAAACCAUUACACUCUGGAAGCCAUUUUCAAAUUGUGCCAUUUUCAUAGUUAACAUUGCAAUGAUGUCAUGUAAACAAACAGAAAAACAACUAAACUUUUCUGUUUUCACCACAAAAUGUUGUUGUAAAAUAGGGGCCUUAGUCGAACAACGUCCUUAUUACCACACUAAAUUUACGUUGACAUUGCUAUAUUAGUCCUCUCAAUUGGUUGAUCAGUGGUCCACUGGGAUCAUAUCCAAACAGCUACAAGGUUUGAGAAAACACAGAAAUAUACCAUCUUCAUAGCUGCUGCACAAAUCACAACCUGUUGUGAAACAACACAGCCGCAUCAUCAAGCAAUAUAAUUUUGGUGUAACACUGAUGUAGUUUUGUUAAAAAAACGACAACAUUAUAACUAAUGUCUCUUGUGAAAAGUGUAGAUGGUUAAGAUCCGCUAACAUAGCUUUGUAUCCUAUAGAGCUGAAUGUUUUUACUCUGAGUUCUUUAGGUAAGGCAACUAUUACUGAUAAUAAUGUCAGAGAACAUCCCUUCAAAACAUCUGAACUGUUCCUUUAAGGCAUAGGCAAGCAAAAUGACCUAAUCCUGUUUGGUAUGAUUUAUGACCUACAAUGCAUUUUUUUAAAGUCAUAUCUUUAUAGUUGCAUUUUUGAGUUUUUGUUUGUUUAUGCUGAAGAGCAUAUUAGAAUUGUUGCAUGAAUAAAUAAAAUGUUGCUCUCCUGAGACUGAGCUAAUACAUUUUAAAGUCUCUUUUUCAGUUUCUAAACUAGUUUCAUCAAUAUUUAACCAGCCAGUCUUCAAAGAAAAAAAUAUCUUCACAUUCAAGAAUGUAAAGGAAAUUUCUGUAAUUUUAAGCAAAAAUUUAAAGUUAAAACUGUAAGAAAGAAAACUGUAAGAAAAACUGUAAGAAAGAGAAUGCAAUUUAUCAAGCUUGUGAUUUUAUGUCUUUUCAAUCUGUUUUCUGAUUGGUGUUUUGUAUUUGGGAACUUUUAGUGGUUUACCUGCUGUAAAGCUUAUUCUUGAAGACACAAGAAAUUAGUUCUGUGUUGUUGUUGUUUUUUUUUUUUUGCUCCCACAUGACUUUAACCCAUUGGAGCUCAAAGUCAGACAAAUGUAAUGUAUAAUAUCUGUGUUUUUCACUGUUUUUUAUUCAAGCUUAUCGAGAUUACCAGUAAAUCAAGAAAGGCAAAUUUUAAUCAUUUUGAAUUGUAAAGAAGGCAAUGUCUAAAACAUAUUUUGAGCUUUAAAUAAAAUCUGAUCUUUACAAUUUA